AACUUUUUUUUUUUUUUUUUUGAGACGGAGUCUCGCUCUGUCACCCAGGCUGGAGUGCAAUGGCGCGAUCUCUGCUCACUGCAAACUCCACCUCCCGGGUUCAUGCCAUUCUCCUGCCUCAGCCUCCCGAGUAGCUGGGACUACAGCCGCCCAUCACCACUCCCAGCUAAUUUUUUGUAUUUUUUUAGUAGAGACGAGGUUUCACUGUGUUAGCUAGGAUGGUCUCAAUCUCCAGACCUCGUGAUCCGCCCGGAGUUUGAUGCCAGUCUGGCCAACAUGGCCAAACCAUGUCUUUACUAAAAAUACAAAAAUUAGCUGGACCUGGUGGCCCAUGCCUGUAAUCCGAGCUCCUUGGGUGGCUGAGGCACAAGAAUCGCAUGAACUCGGGAGGUGAAGGUUGCAGUGAGCUCAGACCCUGCCACUGCACCUUAGCCCGGGUGACAGAGUGAGACUGUCUCAACAAAAAAAAAGAGAGAAGAUCUACUCAUAAAUUCCAAACAAUGUGGCAUGAAUGGAGUGGCCUGAUAACCCAAACUCUAAUGACCAAAUUUAAUAACUUUUAUUAUUACCCCAUACAUAUUGUUUCUGUAAAUGUUAAUAUUAAUUUCUAUUUUUCUGAAAAAAAGUGAUGUUAUGUAUUACUAGAAAUAUGCAAAGGGACUCUGAAAAAAUGGUUUUUUUUCAUUUAAAGAAAUUGCAUAUUAAUUUUUCAUCGGUACUCUCACUGUGUGUAAAAUAUCUCUGGCUAAAAAGUAAACUUACUGUGUUAUGAAAUGUAGCUUAUGUUUAUACUCUUACAAGUAUCAGUAUUAAUGGUGUACAAUUUUUAAAACAUUGAAGCUGUUUUAUUUUGGUUAAUUAAGAGUGUAAAAUACAAAAAGUGAGAUUCCAGGGAAAGUGCCCACCAAGAUCAAGGAUAUCUAUGCCAAUUAAAAGGAAUGCUAUAUUGCAUAGAAAUGAAUGGAGACCACCAGCUGGAGCCCAGAAGGCCAGAUCUGUAAGUCAUUCUAAACCCUCCUUUGUGUUUUUUAGCUAUGGUAUAUUCUUUUUGUUUGUUUGUUUGUUUGUUUUGAGACGGAGUCUCGCUCUGUCGCCAGGCUGGAGUGCAGUGGCGCGAUCUCGGCUCACCGCAAACUCCGCCUCCCGGGUUCAAGCGAUUCUUCUGCCCCAGCCUCCUGAGUAGCUGGGACUACAGACGUGUGCCACUAUGCCCAGCUAAUUUUUGUAUUUUUGGUAGAGAUGGGGUUUCACCAUAUUGGUCAGAAUGGUUUCCAUCUCUUGACCUUGUGAUCCACCUGCCUGGGCCUCCCAAAGUGCUGGGAUUACAGGUGUGAGCCAUGGCGGCCGGCCCCGGCUAAUUUUUGUACUUCUAGUAGAGACAGGGUUUCACCAUGUUGGUCAGACUGGUCUCGAACUCCUGACCUUGCAGUCAGGCUGCCUUGGCCUCCCAAAGUGCUGGUAUUACAGGCAUGAGCCACUGCACCCAGCUGUUAUAUUCUUUUUCUUUAAUUUUUUAAUUAAAAAAAAAAUUUUUGUGGGUACAUAGUAAGUGUAUAUAUUUAUGGGGUACAUGAGAUGUUUUGAUACAGGCAAGCAAUGUGAAAUAAGCACAUCAUGGAGAAUAGGGUGUUUGUCCCCUCAAGUAUUUAUCCUUUGAGUUACAAACAACCCAGUUAUACUCUGUAACUUAUUUCAAAAUGUACAAUUAAGUUACUAUUGACCAUAGGCAGUCUAUUGUGCUAUCAAAUAGUAGGUCUUAUUCAUUCUUUUGUUUUUUUAACCCAUUAAGCUAUGGUAUAUUCUGACAGACCUAUCUGCACAUGUUCAUGAGGUACAAGCUUAUUG
rnacentral:lncRNA from 1 species